CAAUCUCGUACCCAGAGCCAUCGUUGAGUGGCUCUGGCCACACCAUCCUCGUUCCCAGGGCUUCUCGGCUGCCUGCGUUGCCGUAAGCCCUGGGACAAGCCGAAGCAGAAGCGAUUUGAUUGGUCGUUGGAAAUAGAGUGAAAUAUGAAAAGUUUAUUCAUCAAGUGGAUGUUUAUAUUCGGCAAUAUGGCUGCCUUCAAGGAGUGCGCGUUCGAAAUACGAACAAAUACAAACGUAAACUGCUUGUUUUCUAUGGAUUAAUGGAGAUAAUUUGCAAACCGAGUGAAAAAUAACAAAAUGGACAAUUAUAAAGUAGAAGUAAGCAACAAUAUCGAAGAAACGUCAAUUAUGAAGCCAUUAAAAAGUUUCUUCAUUUUAACAUUUUCUUGUUAUAAAGUUGUCUAUUAUUAAAACAUUGUGCCUCAAGUAUAAUUGUAAAAUUUUAAGCACACUGUAAAUAUAAAAUGUUUAAUAAUAUAUAUUUACGAUGGUAAAGUUUUAAUGGUGUAAUAUAUUGUGUUUUAUUAAUUAUUAUGCUUUUGGUAUUGAUCACUUGGCCUAUUUAAUACCAGCCUAUAUUAAAAUGGCCAAUUGGAAUUUAUAAAUAUAGCAUAUAGAAUAUUAUAGGUGUAUUUUACUAUUUCUGAAUUUUCUCAGUUGUAUUAUUAGUGAGUAAUUUUAAUAGCUUUUAAAUACAGUGAAUAAGCUUAUAAGCAUAUUCAAUUGCACCAUGCAGUCAUUUGAAUCCCUGCACCUUUGGCAUACCAGAGGGGAAUGCAAGGACAAUCGCCUCUUAUUCACUGGUUUAUCAUUUCUUGGCAAACAGGGAAGACACUUACUUUCAGUGUCCAAGUCGAGGAAUGAAUGAGGUCAUGGGGGAGGGGGUCACUUAGUCUUUUAUAUAAAUGUUGAAAUAAAGCAGUCGGCUAUAUAAAUGCUGAAAUAAAGCAGUCGGCUAGGAAAGGCUUUUAUAGAACAGUAAAGGAAUGGUUUGGGAAAUUUCAAGUAAAAAUUCCAAUUGAAUACCUGGGGAUGAUAGGACCGAAGAAAUUUACCUUGCCAUUUUGCCCUGGCUGCAGGGGACUUCACUGAAUUUCACACACCAAAUUAACCCCUGGUAUGCCCGAGGUGGGGGUCUCGAAUUCUUGUGUCAUAUUGGAUGAGAUCAUGAAUUUACACUGUUUCCUGUCAACAGUUCAGAAUAGAAUACUUAUUCUGUUGACUUAUUGCAAAUCUUGUAAGAAUUGAAAUUAUAAAAUAAACUAUUAUUAUUGACAAAACUGAAAAUUUGUAUAUGUAUAUGCAGGCUUCUAGCCAGGAGACACCCUACCAUGUCUGUAUAAAAAUUGAUUUUAAACAAACCAUUACAAAAAUGACAUAAAAGUUGCUUUGUAUUCUGAAAUUCUGGUUUAAGCCUCCUGCUAUAGAUAUAUUGAACUGGAAAACUUUUCAUAUUUUUAAUGUGGAAAUGUGUAGUAAUAUGUUGAUAAAUCAGAAUUUUAACCCCACCUCCCUUUAUACCAUCACUCAGGUAUACAUCCUGUUGUGGUGGAGAUUUAUAUUGGACACCUGGAUAGAUACUAGAAAAGGCUUAGUCACACUUCUGGAUAAUGAGGGGGCAAUGAACUCCCUGAUGUGAAAUUGUAAGAAAUUUAAAAAUUGACCAGUGAUAACUUGACAUUAUGUAAGGGAGUCAAAUUUGCUAACAUUACCCUCCAAUCAUUGGCUAUCCCAUUUGGCCUCAAAUGAUUUGACCCCUAUCUGAAACAGAAGGCACACUUGCAUGUAGAAAAUAUAUUGGAAUGCAGAAAAUAUUGCUAUACUUUAAUCUGAAAACAAAAAUUUCCCUGAAACAAUUAACAUACAUUGGGCCAUACAGUCAUGCACAUAGUUUUGACUGUCAGAUGUAUAAAGCAGCAUAGUGAGUUGCAUUCAGGGCUAAAGACAUAUUAGGUUAAUUAUUUUACAUAAUUAUUUUUCUUCAUUUGCCACGCAUGUAAUCUGUGAAGGAUUCAGAAUUAUCCGGCAUGGAAAUAACGUUUUAAACGUGCUAUAUAAAACGGUGUUCAAUAUUCAUACUACAUGAUGGGCAUAUGGCCAAACAAACACCUUGUGCUUUUUUGCUCCAAUUUACGCACGCAUGAUUUUGUAUAUACAUAAUAUAGAUUUAAAUCUAGCAAUUCAAAUCCAAAACUCAUGGGGUCAUGCAUGACAUCUAUCUAUAAUUUAUAUUUUCUUGAAAUGUUAGGUGAUUCAUUGUUAUUGCAGUUGUUGUAACCCAGUAAACAGACACACACCGCCGUUUAGAUAUGUCACAUGUCGUUCUUGUUCCUUUAUACAACAUACGAUAGACGAUAAAGCUAAUUCGAAUUACUUCUCUUUAAUUUCCAGUCCAGCUUUGUCCAAUCUUUGAAGUGACUUUACAAGCGCGUGUUGAAACAGGUCAUCUGUACAAGAACCCAUGAUGUUUCGAAUCAAACCACUUCGAGCACAUUUCGACUCGAUCAUGUUUACAUCAUACAUGAAAAUUGAUACAUGUAAUACGAGACCGAAAUAUGGUUGUAUUUUGACGCAUAUUAACGAUAUAACGAAAUAUAAAACCCCAAUAUGUAUAAUUCCAUUAGGUGGUCUGCACAUAUUCCCUUGAUGGUGGAAAAUACAUCGAAACAAAAGAAAAAUCCAAUAUUUUCUUCUCGCCAACACGUCUCCACUCCUCAGUAAAAAUUAAUGCACAGUCAGCAUUUUUUAGCUGCAGCAGAGCACGUUUACUUCCGGAAAACACCAGAAUUUGUGGUGUU